CCCUUAGAUGUUCUGGGCGGCCCGCGCACUACAUUGGCACUCUCAAUAAGUUCCUAGAUCUAAAACUUUGGGGUAUUCUAUUAAGUGGUGUCGUGACUGGGAUUAACCCUUGCAAUUAUUGGUUACGAACGAGGAAUACCUUGUAAGCGCGGGUCAUCAUCCCGCGCUGAAUACGUCCCUGCCCUUUGUACACACCGCCCGUCGCUCCUACCGAUUGAGUGGUCCGGUGAGGCUUUGGGAUCUGAGCGGAAAGAGCGUUUCGCUGUUUCUGCUCGGAAAACUCAGUCGAACCUUAUCAUUUAGAGGAAGGAGAAGUCGUAACA
rnacentral:rRNA from 1 species